GCAACCCACAAAGCCACACUUACGAUCUUUUGGGAAUCGCCCUAGAAACAAAUGCAAAUGACAAAGGAACUGCAAAGGGCGGAGUGGCAAGUAACAGAAGGCAACUCUUGCUAACAAGCAAAAAGAGAAGGAUUCAAGGGCUACUCAAAUAGAAUUCAAUAGAGUUGAAUUUAGAUCCUUUGCUGGUGUUUCCCUGUGGCUGGACACACACGUAGGAAAUACGAAUCUGAGAUAUACUCCAUAAAG